GACGAACGCUGGCGGCGUGCCUAAUACAUGCAAGUUGAACGCUGAAGGUUUGUACUUGUACCAACUGGAUGAGCAGCGCACGGGUGAGUAACGCGUGGGGAAUCUGCCUGUGAUCGGGGGACAACAUUUGAAAACGAAUGCUAAUACCGCAUGAAAACUUUAAACACAAGUUUUAGUGUUAAAGAUGCGAUGUCAUCACUCAAAGAGGGUCCCGCGUUGUCUUUGCUAGUGGGGGGGGUAAACGCGCAUCAAGGCGGUGUUACAUAGCCGACCUGAUCGGGUGAUAGGCCAGCUUGGGAAUGAGACACGGCACAAACUCCUACGGGAGGCAGCAGUAGGGCAUCUUCGGCAAUGGAUGAAAGUCUGACCGCGAAACGCCGAGUGAGUGAAGAAGGGUUUCGGAUCGUAAAACUCUGUUGGUAGAGAAGAACGUUGGUGAGAGUGGAAAGAUCAUCAAGUGACGGUAACUACUCAGAAAGGGCCGGCUAACUACGUG
rnacentral:rRNA from 1 species